UACAGAGGGUGCGAACGUUGCUCGGAAUUACUGGGCGUAAAGCGCAUGUAGGCGGGUCUGCAAGUCAGAUGUGAAAUCCCCGGGCUCAACCCGGGAACUGCAUCUGAAACUGCAGGCCUUGAGUACUGGAGAGGGUGGCGGAAUUCCUGGUGUAGAGGUGAAAUUCGUAGAUAUCAGGAGGAACACCGGUGGCGAAGGCGGCUCUCUGGUACGGCACUGACGCUGAGACGCGAAAGCGUGGGGAGCGAACAGG
rnacentral:rRNA from 1 species